AUUUAAAUAGUUUAAUAAAAAUUUUAGUUUGUGGAACUGAAGAUACAUAAUUAGUGUUUUAAAUA
rnacentral:tRNA from 1 species